rnacentral:rRNA from 1 species
CCUACGGGAGGCAGCAGUGGGGAAUAUUGCGCAAUGGGCGAAAGCCUGACGCAGCGACGCCGCGUGAGGGAUGAAGGUCUUCGGAUCGUAAACCUCUGUCAGUAGGGAAGAACGGUCACUGUGGUAAUCAGCAGUGAAUUGACGGUACCUGCAAAGGAAGCACCGGCUAACUCCGUGCCAGCAGCCGCGGUAAUACGGAGGGUGCGAGCGUUAAUCGGAAUGAUUGGGGGAAAAGCGCUCGUAGGAGGUAUGUCAAGUCAAGGGUGAAAUCGCCGGGCUCAACGUAGGAACUGCCUUUGAAACUGGAAAACUGGGGUGUGUGAAAGGAUAGUGGAAU